UACGUAGGCAGCAAGCGUUGUUCGGAGUUCCUGGGCGUAAAGGGUGCGUAGGCGGCUUUUUAAGUUUGGUGUGAAAUCUCCCGGCUCAACUGGGAGGGUGCGCCGAAUACUGAGAGGCUAGAGUGUGGGAGAGGAAAGUGGAAUUCCUGGUGUAGCGGUGAAAUGCGUAGAGAUCGGAAAGAACACCAACGGCGAAAGCACUCUGCUGGGCCGACACUGACACUGAGAGACGAAAGCUAGGGGAGCGAAUGGG
rnacentral:rRNA from 1 species